GCGGCUGUGGACCACCGGCUGGUUGCCGGGCUCAUAUCCCGGAGAAAGCAGGUUCGAUUCCCGCCGCCGCU
rnacentral:tRNA from 1 species